rnacentral:rRNA from 1 species
CCUACGGGUAGCAGCAGUGAGGAAUAUUGGUCAAUGGGCUUACGCCUGAACCAGCCAAGUCGCGUGAGGGAAGACUGCCCUAUGGGUUGUAAACCUCUUUUGUCAGGGAGCAAUUGGCGCUACGUGUAGCGUUAUCGAGAGUACCUGAAGAAAAAGCAUCGGCUAACUCCGUGGCAGCAGCCGCGGUAAUACGGAGGAUGCGAGCGUUAUCCGGAUUUAUUGGGUUUAGAGGGUGCGUAGGCGGAAUGCCAAGUCAGCGGUAAAAUCGCGGGGCUCAACCUCGCUCCGCCGUUGAAACUGGCGUUCUUGAGUGGGCGAGAAGUAUGCGGAAUGCGUGGUGUAGCGGUGAAAUGCAUAGAUAUCACGCAGAACUCCGAUUGCGAAGGCAGCAUACCGGCGCCCAACUGACGCUGAAGCACGAAAGCGUGGGUAUCGAACAGGAUUAGAUACCCCGGUAGUC